GAUCACACAUAUCAUACUUUUCACCUUGCAAAAUAAGAGUUUUUUAGUCCUUUCUGUUUACUCCCACUCUUUAAUUAUUUUUAACUUUUUUUUCCCCUCACUUCAAACCCUUUGAAGGAUUCCUUUUUAUUUUGUCGAAUGGCUUCCAUGACUGCUCAUGGACCAAGCACUCCAUGGACUGUAAAGCAAAACAAAGCAUUUGAGAAAGCUUUGGCAGUUUAUGAUAAAGACACACCUGAAAGAUGGCUGAAUGUUUCGAAGGCCAUUGGUGGGAAAACUGAAGAAGAAGUGAAAAGGCAUUAUCAACUUCUUGUGGAGGAUGUUAAGCAUAUUGAAUCUGGUGAAAUUCCUUUUCCUUAUCGAAGAUUAACGUGAUGAAGUCAUUACGUGUUAAUGAAACAAGGAUGAUUAAGUGAGCCAGCUCCUUCAGUGGUUUGAAGAAUAGAAGAAGAAAACCAUAUUAUGUUUGUCUUUUUGUGCCCAUUUAAAGUGUAAUUGUAAUUUUUUGAAUGGAAUAAAGGAUUAUUUGCUUGCUGUUAA